UUUAUAACAGCAGCAGGCUCGGGAAUUCCCUUUUAGAAAGCACACAAACAGCGAGCACAGCUCGGCCCGCCCCUGAGCUGUGCUCGCCGCCACACGGGGGCACGGGAGGAGCGGUUUGGGAAAGCUGGGCUCGUUUCAGGGUCCCAAAACCAAUCUUGGCCAACCGGAGCGGUUUUGGUGCUUCUGGCGUGCCAGGCCUGCGUGGUUUUGUUCCCCUCUCGCCGUGUGGGAAUGCCGUGCCGGUGUCAAUGCUGGUUUAGCUCCCCUGGUGCCGCGCUGGGUGUGGGUUUGGGCCGUGCCUGGCCGCAGGGAAAGUCGGCAGGUUUGGCUGCUGUGGCGUCCCAGCCCUGUUGUUUUUUGUCACUUUGUUUCUGCAGAGAGGAAAAGCAUCCCAGCUUGGCUGGCAGCAGAGCCCAGGCCUGAGGCUGCUCAGCGUUGGUGUGACCCACUGGUGGUGUCACCUGCCCUGGGCACAGCCACCACAGCUGCCCAGAGCCAGGAGCAUCUAGUGAGAGAUCCAGGAGGAUGCAGCUCUUGUUUCCAAGGAGGAUAAUAUAAGACUGAAAGGAGCUUGGCAGGAAAGCCCCUGUGAAACAAAGCACAAUGGGAAUACCUGUGAGCAGGGACUCUAAGGAAUUCCUGCUGCUCCUGCUGUCCUGGUCUUUUCCAGGACAGGAAAAAUCAUUUAAGUGGACCCAGCUCUGCCAGAACCUUUGGUUUUGGGUGGGAUUGAGCAGCCAAAGCCCAGAGCCUGCAGCCCUGAUGGCCUGGGGUAAGUCAGAAGGACACACUUCCCUUUUCCUGGCUGUUGGGAUUAGCUCACUGGGAAAUGUCAGCACAGCUCUGCUCUUUACUGGGCUCUGGGUAAAGCUCCAUUUUCCCUUGUGGUCAGGGAUGUGCUGUCCAAGGGCUUGGGGAUUCCAAGGAGGUCAGAAAAGGAGGGUGUGAGGUGCCAGAGCUGUGUCCCAUCAGGCUGUGUUUGUCUCUGAGAAACCCAUGCCAGCAAUUUUUACAGAGGAAAAAAUAUUAGCAAUUACUUUUGAUCCCUUGGGGAAGUUUCUUUGGAAUUAGCAACUGCAGAGUGUAUCAGUGGAGAGCAUUUCCUUUGGCUCUUUUCCUGGUUUGUCAUUUCCUUUCUGGUUUAAAUUAAUUUUUUUGUGCUCCUGUUAGGGAAACAACAUGUUUUUACCUUCAAAUAUGGGGUGGUUUUAUUUGUUUAGGUUAUUUGCUUAUGGGUCAGAGAAGGAAGUGAAAUUACAUUUUAGUAUAUUUUCCCAAACAUAAAGUGGGAUGUUGUCCUGCCACUCCCCAAACCACUCCAGGCACCUGGGAGCAGCUCAGAGCUGGCAGAGUUGCAAUGGAAUUUAAGAUAAACUGAGGGAGUCAGUAGGGAACAGACAGGGAAAAUUUUGGGGGGUAAGACUUGGAAUAACCUUUAGGGCAGAGAAUUAACAUUUUUGAGGUAAAAAUGAAGUAAUCAGUAGUGGACAGAUAGGGAAAAUAUUGUGAGUGAAGCUUUAGUUAAUCUGUAAGGGGAAGAAUGAGCAUUUUGAGGUCAAGUGGGGUAAUACAUAGUGAAGUAUUUUCCAUAAGUAGGGAAAAUUUUCAGAGCAAACUUGGGGCAGUCCACUGGGCAGAGAAGGGAUGAUUGGAAGUAAACUGAGGCAAUCAGGAGUGCACAGGUAGGAAGAUUUUGUCAGUAAAAUCUGGGAUAACAUCUAGGGCAGAGCAUGAAUAUUUUGAGGUCAGCUCAGGUAAUCAGCAGUGUCCAGCUAGGGGGGUUUUUGGGAUUGCUCCCGAGUAAGGUACAAUGAAAACUUUGGAGGUGAAACCCUUGGUAAAAUCUCUGUUCAUUUCACCUGCCUGAAUUCCUUGUAGCUCCCAGCUGGGAAAACCUGGCAUAACUUAGAGGGGACAGAGGUGACACUUUUGGCAGAAAACUUGUGGAAUUUAGAGGGGACCCAACAUGUGUUUGUGUAGGAAAAUGUGAGGGGAUGUGGAGGGAACCAAGGUGGCAUUUUUCAGGGAAUAGCUAUGGGGAGAGAAUGCACAUUUUGGGGUCAAAAUGAGGGAAUCAAUAGUGUGCAGAAAAGAAAAUUUGGGAGGUAAAACAUGGGAUAAUCUUGAUGGUAGAAAACAUUCAAUUUAUUGUAAAAAAUGGAGUAAGGAGUAACAAAAGGAAAUUUAUGGGGGAAAAGCUUGAGGUACUUUUUGGGAGAGAGAAUGAAUAUUUUGAGGGGAAAAUGAGCUCAUCAGAAGUGGACAAAGAGGGAGUAUUUUGGGGGAAAAACCUGGAGUAAUCUUUUGGGGAAAAAAAUGAACAUCUUGAGGUAAACUGAGGUAACAAGUAGUGCAAAGGUAGCGAUAUAUUGGGGGUUAAACUUGAGGUAAUCUCCAGUGUAGAAAAUAAAUAUUUUGAGGUAAAACUGAGGUAAAUCAGUAGUGGCCAGGUAGGGAAAAUCUUGGUGAAAUUGGUGAUAACCUCUAGCAGAGCCAGUGAAAAUUUUGAGUUAGGUAAUCAGUAGCAAACAUGAGGGGAAUAUUUGUGGCUGAAAACUGAGAUAACCUCCAGGGUAAGGAAUGAACAUUUUGAGGUAAACAGGUGGAAUCAGCAGGGCAGAGACACGGGAAAUUUUAGGGGUGAAAUUGAGGUGAUCUGUAGAGGAGAGAAAACAGCAUUUUGAGGUUAAAAGUAAUGGACAGGUAGGGAACAUUUCAGGGGAAAAUCCUGAGGUAAUCUGCAGUGGAUAGAAUGAAUAAUUGGGAUAGGAUAGUGGGGGGUUUUGGUGGGAAAAUAGAAGUAAUCUAUAGAGAUAAAAUGAAUGUCUGGGAGUUCAAAUGUGAGUUAACCUGUAAAGGAAGGGCUGAAAAUCCUGAGGUAAAAAUGAAGGUGGUCAUUAGCAGAGAGGCAUGGAAAAAUUUGGGAUUAAAACUUGAGGUGGUGUAGGGGAGAGAAUGAGCACUGUGAGGUAAGAUGAGGUAAUUAAAUGUAACAGGUAGGAAAAACCUUGGGAAAAACUCAAACCUGAGUCUGUAAAGAAAUAAAAUUUUGAGGUGAAAUCAGCAGUAUACUGCUAAAGUGAAGUUUUGGCUUUAAAAUUUGAGAUAAUCCAUAGGGAACAGAGAACAUUUGGGUGGAUAACCUGAAGUAAUCUGUAACACAGAGACAGAAUGAAUAUUUUAGGGAUUAGAUAGAGAUAAAUAGUGGAGGGUUUUGGUGGUAAAAUCCAAGUCAUCCAUAGGGGUCAAGAUUAACAAUUUGAGGGUAAAAUGGAGGUAUUUUGUAAUGGACUGAAUGAACAUUUUGAGGUAAAAAGGAGGAUGUCGCUGGUGAAUGUGUCAGGAUAAUUUUGGAGUAAAACUUGAGCUGCUCUGUGAAGUACAGUUAAUAUUUUGGGGGGAAAAUGUCAGGCCGCCUGUCCUGGCAUUGAUGAGGUUCCUGGGAAUCCAUUACAUUGUUCUCAUAGAAAUUUGCACAGGUUUUGGAGCUUAUGCAUUUCUUCCUUUGGAUUGUUCCCUCUGCAGGAUUUGGGG